rnacentral:rRNA from 1 species
UACGUAGGGUGCAAGCGUUAAUCGGAAUUACUGGGCGUAAAGCGUGCGCAGGCGGCUUUGCAAGACAGAUGUGAAAUCCCCGGGCUCAACCUGAGAACUGCAUUUGUGACUGCAAGGCUAGAGUACGGUAGAGGGGGAUGGAAUUCCGCGUGUAGCAGUGAAAUGCGUAGAUAUGCGGAGGAACACCGAUGGCGAAGGCAAUCCCCUGGACCUGUACUGACGCUCAUGCACGAAAGCGUGGGGAGCAAACAGG